AUUAAAUUAGUUUUUGAGGUAUAAAAAAAUGUAAAAUUUCAACUGUUUAAGAAGUUGCGGUACAUAUGUUAUCUUUUUUAUUUAAAAAAGAAACAGGUUUAAAAAUUACCCUUGAGCCGUGUCAGAAACUCCAGUAGCUUCAGAGAUCAUAAAACCUCCUCUGGAAGUUCUCUGGGAGUAGUAUAGAAUGGCAUCUGGUUGAGGAACAUUAUUGUAAGAUCUUUGUCUUGUCAAUGGUGCCAAUACAACUCUGGGAAUAAAAGAAGAAGAAAAAGAAAAGAGGUAAAUGAUUGAGUAAAUUAUUUAUGCAUCAAAAUUUCCCAGGCGAAGAACAAAGUGAUGCACAUAGUCNGCUUCCAUAGCAUUCCUUGCUGCAGUUCUGAAAUCAUUGACAAUUUGAGGGAUUUCAUCUGUCCUUAAUCGCCUAGGAGGUGAGAACUGAGCAACAUCCACUCCAUUAGCUCGAAUUUGUGGUGUCAAUGACUUGUCAGUAGAAGAGAUUGGAGCUUGUCCAUUUGGCUGAAAACCUGUACGUAUAUAGACAUUGACAAGGGAUAAGAAAUUAGUUGGGGCCAAUGUCAUCACAUGAAUAUGGAAAUAAAUAUUAAGCAUAUAAUUCCAUCAUAGAAUCAGAAGAGAAGACAUAAUGGAUGUCUAAGGCAAGAACUGACCGUAGUUUGAAACCCUUCCAACAUGCCAAAUCUGACAAAAGAUAAUUCCACCUUUGGCAUGAACAGCAUCAACAAUGGGUUUCCAGGCCUCAACUUGCUCUUUUGUCCAUAUACCAGGUGUAUGCGCGUACCUUCAUAAAUUAGGAAGAAAUAAUAAAAGAAAGUCUCAUUAAAUUAGUUUUUGAGGUAUAAAAAAAUGUAAAAUUUUAACUGUUUAAGUAGUUGCGGUACAUAUGUUAUCUUUUUUAUUUAAAAAAGAAACAGGUUUAAAAAUUACCCUUGAGCCGUGUCAGAAACUCCAGUAGCUUCAGAUAUCAUAAAACCUCCUCUGGAAGUUCUCUGGGAGUAGUAUAGAAUGGCAUCUGGUUGAGGAACAUUAUUGUAAGAUCUUUGUCUUGUCAAAGGUGCCAAUACAACUCUGAGAAAAAAGGAAGAAAAAGAAAGAGGUAAAUGAUAGAGUAAGUUAUUUAUGCAUCAAAAUUUCCCAGGCGAAGAACAAAGUGAUGCACAUAGUCAGCCAAUUACCAUUGGUUUUCCUAAUGAACAACAUUCAAGUUAUGCAAACUUGGAUUUUUCAACUAAUCAAUUAGUUAUGGCUUGACAAAGAAAAACAAUAUGCUGACUGGGAUUAUCCAAAAGUUAUACAAAUAUCUACUUGGACGAAAGCAAAAGUCGUGCCAUGAAAAAUGCAGGAAAAUUUA
rnacentral:lncRNA from 1 species